rnacentral:rRNA from 1 species
CAGUAGCCACGGUAAUACGUAGGGCGCAAGCGUUAUCCGGAAUUAUUGGGCGUAAAGAGCUCGUAGGCGGUUUGUCGCGUCUGCCGUGAAAGUCCGGGGCUCAACCCCGGAUCUGCGGUGGGUACGGGCAGACUAGAGUGAUGUAGGGGAGACUGGAAUUCCUGGUGUAGCGGUGAAAUGCGCAGAUAUCAGGAGGAACACCGAUGGCGAAGGCAGGUCUCUGGGCAUUAACUGACGCUGAGGAGCGAAAGCAUGGGGAGCGAACAGGAUUAGAUACCCCGGUAGUUCCUGUCUCUUAUAC